rnacentral:rRNA from 1 species
CGGGGGGCAGCAGUCGAGAAUCUUCGGCAAUGGGCGAAAGCCUGACCGAGCGACGCCGCGUGAGGGAUUGAAGGCCUUCGGGUUGUAAACCUCUUUCGUAGAGGAGGAAGGGGCUGUGAAGAACAGUCCUUGACCUAUUCUAGGAAGAAGCUUGGGCUAAGUUCGUGCCAGCAGCCGCGGUAAGACGAACCAAGCGAACGUUAUUCGGAAUUACUGGGCUUAAAGCGCGUGUAGGCGGACUACCACGUUGGUUGUUGAAAUCCCCCGGCUUAACCGGGGAACUGGCACCAAUACGAGUAGUCUGGAGGUGGGUAGGGGAGACUGGAACUUCCGGUGGAGCGGUGAAAUGCGUUGAGAUCGGAAGGAACGCCCGCGGCGAAAGCGAGUCUCUGGACCCAUACUGACGCUGAGACGCGAAAGCCAGGGGAGCAAACGGGAUUAGAUACCCGAGU